rnacentral:rRNA from 1 species
AUUGAACGCUGGCGGCAUGCCUUACACAUGCAAGUCGAACGGCAGCACGGGAGCAAUCCUGGUGGCGAGUGGCGAACGGGUGAGUAAUAUAUCGGAACGUGCCCAGUCGUGGGGGAUAACGCAGCGAAAGCUGUGCUAAUACCGCAUACGAGCUAAGGAUGAAAGCGGGGGAUCGCAAGACCUCGCCCUAGUGGAGCUGCCGAUAUCAGAUUAGCUAGUUGGUGGGGUAAAGGCCCACCAAGGCGACGAUCUGUAGCUGGUCUGAGAGGACGACCAGCCACACUGGAACUGAGACACGGUCCAGACUCCUACGGGAGGCAGCAGUGGGGAAUUUUGGACAAUGGGCGCAAGCCUGAUCCAGCAAUGCCGCGUGCAGGAUGAAGGCCUUCGGGUUGUAAACUGCUUUUGUACGGAACGAAACGGCUCUUUCUAAUACAGGGGGCUAAUGACGGUACCGUAAGAAUAAGCACCGGCUAACUACGUGCCAGCGGCCGCAGUAACAC